UUUCAUAUCCUCUCCAUUUCUUUUUACCCAUUGUUGAUUCUCUUUUUUUUCCUUCUCUUUUCCAUCUUUUUCUCCAUCACGAAUUUGAUAUUUGGUAGCACAGUAAUUAUACAUGAAAUUGAAUCUUGUCAACUAUCAAGACAAUCAAGUAAACCUCCCAGAUCUCACCAUGGAUUACAGGUGGGGAAAGACUUGGAAAGAAAAUUUUCAACAUUGAGCAGAGAAAAUUGUUCAGACAAUAAGAUGCACAUGAGAAGAUGUCAAACAGCUUGGAUCUAACACAGAACUGAAAAAUUCUCGUUCUAAUAUCAAAAUCCACAUCACAAAAACAACCAAACACCAAAAUCCAAACCCAAAAGUUGUAACUUUCAGAGAAUAACAGAACAAAAGAGAAAGAAAAACAGUAAUCACAGAGACCCAAAAUUGGGGAAAAAAAGUGUCAGAAGCCGAAAGGAAAAUAAAUUGAAGAAUAGAGUUGACACAAGAAAUUACUUGAAAAUCAAAGGGAGUUAUCCUUUUCCUUUCCUAAGGAAGAGAGAAUCAAGGUCAAUCCUGCAAUAGAGAAGUUGUUUCUACAGCAGGGGAGGGAGAG
rnacentral:lncRNA from 1 species